GCCGCCGAAGGUGGGACAGAUGAUUGGGGUGAAGUCGUAACAAGGUAGCCGUAUCGGAAGGUGCGGCUGGAUCACCUCCUUUCUAAGGA
rnacentral:rRNA from 1 species